UCACUAUCACUAGAUGGCAACAAGAGGCAUACUAAAUCCCACAAGGCUUCCAGAAGGACAACACUGAACUCAAGCCACUUUCGAAACACAUUUGAGACUAGAAGAUGAUGAACAGACAAGUUAAGGCAGAGCUCUUUACAGUGGUGCCCAGUGACAGAACAAAGGAUAAUGGACAUGAACUGGAAUGCAGGAAGGAUCUGUUCUCAACCAUUUCUGGAUCAACACUGGAUGCUCAAAAGAAAAGAAGACUGGAUAAAGCAUGUCUGCCGGGGGUGAACUGAUGGCAACUUAGUGGUUUGACACUCACCCGAG